GGCGAACGGGUGAGUAACACGUGGGCAAUCUGCCCUGCACUCUGGGACAAGCCCUGGAAACGGGGUCUAAUACCGGAUAUGACACACGGCCGCAUGGUCUGUGUGUGGAAAGCUCCGGCGGUGCAGGAUGAGCCCGCGGCCUAUCAGCUUGUUGGUGGGGUGAUGGCCUACCAAGGCGACGACGGGUAGCCGGCCUGAGAGGGCGACCGGCCACACUGGGACUGAGACACGGCCCAGACUCCUACGGGAGGCAGCAGUGGGGAAUAUUGCACAAUGGGCGCAAGCCUGAUGCAGCGACGCCGCGUGAGGGAUGACGGCCUUCGGGUUGUAAACCUCUUUCAGCAGGGAAGAAGCUUUUAUCGGUGACGGUACCUGCAGAAGAAGCACCGGCUAACUACGUGCCAGCAGCCGCGGUAAUACGUAGGGUGCGAGCGUUGUCCGGAAUUAUUGGGCGUAAAGAGCUCGUAGGCGGCUUGUCACGUCGGAUGUGAAAGCCCGGGGCUUAACCCCGGGUCUGCAUUCGAUACGGGCAGGCUAGAGUUCGGUAGGGGAGAUCGGAAUUCCUGGUGUAGCGGUGAAAUGCGCAGAUAUCAGGAGGAACACCGGUGGCGAAGGCGGAUCUCUGGGCCGAUACUGACGCU
rnacentral:rRNA from 1 species